AUUGAACGCUGGCGGCAGGCCUAACACAUGCAAGUCGAGCGAGUGGCGGACGGGUUAGUAAUGUAUGGGGAUCUGCCCGAUGGAGGGGGCUAACUACUGGAAACGGUGGCUAAUACCGCAUACUAUCGGAUGCACCCAUAUGGGAGUAGCUGGUAGGUGGGGUAAAGGAUCACCUAGGCGACGAUCUCUAGCUGGUAUGAGAGGAUGAUCAGCCACACUGGGACUGAGACACGGCCCAGACUCCUACGGGAGGCAGCAGGGGGGAAGAUUGCACAAUGGGCGCAAGCCUGAUGCAGCCAUGACGCGUGUAUGAAGAAGGCCUUAGGGUUGUAAAGUACUUGCAGCGGGGAGGCGUUACCCGCAGAAGAAGCACCGGCGAACGCCGUGCCAGCAGCCGCGGUAAUUC
rnacentral:rRNA from 1 species